rnacentral:rRNA from 1 species
UAAAAACCCCGACUUCGGAAGGGGUGUAUUUAUUAGAUACAAAACCGAUGCCCUUCGGGGCUCUUUGGUGAUUCAUGAUAACUAUACGAAUCGCGCGGCCUUGCGCCGGCGAUGGUUCAUUCAAAUUUCUUCCCUAUCAACUUUCGAUGUUUGGGUAUUGGCCAAACAUGGUUGCAACGGGUAACGGAGGGUUAGGGCUCGACCCCGGAGAAGGAGCCUGAGAAACGGCUACUACAUCCAAGGAAGGCAGCAGGCGCGCAAAUUACCCAAUCCCGACUCGGGGAGGUAGUGACAAUAAAUACUGAUACAGGGCCCUUUCGGGCCUUGUAAUUGGAAUGAGUACAAUUUAAAUCCCUUAACGAGGAACAAUUGGAGGGCAAGUCUGGUGCCAGCAGCCGCGGUAAUUCCAGCUCCAAUAGCGUAUAUUAAAGUUGUUGUGGUUAAAAAGCUCGUAGUUGAACCUUGGGCCUGGCUGGCCGGUCCGCCUCACCGCGUGCACUGGUCCGGCCGGGCCUUUCCCUCUGUGGAACCCCAUACCCUUCACUGGGCGUGGCGGGGAAACAGGACAUUUACUUU